rnacentral:lncRNA from 1 species
UAACGAAGCACUCUGGUUACUCCUUGGCAGAGGGGGAGCACUGUGCUGGGGGGAAUCGCACUCAUCUGGACUGCCUGGAUUCCUCGGAGCCAGCAGGUGGAAAGACUAAGUCUGCUGAUACACAGAGAAUGUGGUUGCCCCUUCUCUCAGUGACUCAGUCCCAGGGAGAUCAGAGGCCCUGGUGGCAUGGGCUCACAAGGGGGAUCUCCUGAUCUGUAGGCUGCACAGAUCUGUGGGAAAAGUGUGGUUUCCCAGACAGGGUAGCAUGAUCUCUCACUGCCUCCCUUGGCUGAGGGUGGGAGUUCCCCUUGCCCCGUGUGGCUCCCAGGUGGGCCGUCACACCACUCUACUUUUCCUCACUCUUCAUGAGUCACACCAACCACCUAGUCAGUCCAAAUGAGAGAACCUGGAUACCUCUGUUGACGAUGCAGGAUUCACUUGCCAUUUUGUUCUUCUCUUCGUGGGAACCUCCGAUGACAGCUGUUUCUAGCUCAAGCUGGAAGGGACUUGUCUUAGAUGAGAGUUUGGACUUGGACUUUUGAGUUAAUGGAGGAAUCCAGUGGGAGGUAAUUGAAAUAUGGGGGCAGGUUUUUCCCAUGCUCUUCUUGUGAUAGUGAAUAAGUUUCACAAUAUCUGAUUGUUUUAUAAAGGGCAGUUUCCCUGCACACACACUCUUGCCUGCUGCCAUGUAAGACAUGCCUUUUCUCCUCCUUUGCCUUCUGCCAUGAUUGUGAGUCCACCCAAGCCGUGUAGAACAGUGAGUCCAUUAAACCUCUUUUUCUUUACAAAUUACCCAGUACUGGGUAUGUCCUUAUUAGCAGUGUGAAAAGGAGCUAAUACAGUGUGAGAGUGUUUUUAGAAAAGAUUAGCAUUUGAAUUGCUAGACCUAGUAAAAAAUAUUUUCUUCAGCAUUGUGGGUGAGCAUCAUCCAAUUUAUAGACAGCCUAGAUAGAACAAAAAGGCAGAGGAAGGGCAAAUUGACUCUCUGUGCUUAAGCAGAGACAUCCAUCUUCUCCUGCCCUUGGACAUGGGUGCUUUUUAUUUUCCAUCCUUUGGACUUGUACCAGAUCUUACACUAUUGUUCCCCAGUUCUUAGGCCUUUGGAUUUCGAGUAGGAUUUACACCCACUCCCCAUUCUUAGGUCUUUGGAAUUGGAAUAGGACUCACACCAUUGGCUCCCUGGUUCUCAGGCCUUUGGGCUUCAACUGUAACUAUACCAUGGCUUUCCAUAAUCUCCAGCUUGCAGACAGUAGAUUGCAGGACUUCUCAGACUCCAUAAUUACACAAGCAAAUUCUGCAUACUAAAUCUCUUUCCAUAUUUCUAAAUAUAUCCCAUUGAUUCUAUUUCUCCGGAAAGCCCCAACUAGUACAAAAGAAACCCAUUUCUUCAGAUUUCAAUCAAAAUAUGUAACAAUCUUUUUUACUUUUUGUAGCUAAGUCAUUUUAUCAAAAGCAAAAGACAGCUGGACUGUGUAAGUGGUAAAUUUGGAGGUGUCAGCUUGAGGAGACCAUGAAGAGAUUUUGAAGGGCUGACACUAUUAUGAAUUGAUCAGGAAAAAUUUUUUUUUUUUAAUUUUCCAGUUACAUGGUUAACCCUAAAGGCAAGAAAGAUAUAACCCUGCUAGUAUAGCUUGUUAUUUUAUGAGGUAAAAGAUGAAUGGCUUUAAUGAGCAAGCAUUGAAACGUUUGAACUCUCCUUCAAAGAAAAGGGAAAAUGAAAAGUAGUUGUUAAGCACAGACAACAUGCAAGGAAGGCACUGCAGUAGACCUAUGGCCCUAAGAGUCUGUGACCAGACACCAUUUCCAUGCAUCUAUCCACCAGAGUCCUAGUCUUGCUCUACCCUUAGGAGAUCAGAGACACAUGUCCAAAGUGCAAAUCAAAAGAAUAUAGUAGAGUGCAAAGAGCUUCAGCCUAAGAUUUACAUUAGAGAUUUACUGCUUGGAUCUCAGGUAAGUGCUUUAACUUCUCUAGAUCUUGAUUUCCUAAUCUGCAGCAUGGGAAUAAUAAUGCUCGUCUUAUAUCUCACAGGGCCAAUACUGUGUUAAAAGUAGAAAUAACAGGUGAGAAUGUUGACAAAAGUAAAACCAUAACAUAGAUGCCUGGUCCUGUAGUAAUGAGGCUUGGACUGGAGAAGACAUUAAAGUUUAUUCCAGUUGGGCCACAUCAUGAAACUGGAGAGGUGUGAUGGGUGCAGCAUGAACCAGGACAGAGGAAAGCAGAGAGAAGGUGCUCCACACUGAUGAAGCAGCCAGAGGAAUGGGCCUUGGCAGUGGAGGGGAACAUCUGGGCUCAGGCUCUAGACACGGUCUGCAAUUUAAAAACUGGAUUGUGAUGAGAAGCAUCUGGAGUCUGAUAAAGGCUAAUUACAGUUAAGAAAUAUGAAAAUUGAGAACUCAGGAGAAGAUCAGCUUCUACUACUGCCUGGGCAGAAUAAUCAAGAAAUUAGCACAAACUGAUGGUGACCAUAAAGAGACACUAGAGGAUAAUUGAAGUAUUAACAUUAAAGAUAUUCUGGCAAGUGGUUUGUCCCUUGAGAGUCCAGGCCGUCUUCCUUGCUACAGGACAUAAUACGACUGAAGAGCUUUUCAACAAAGCAAUGGGGGCUCUGUAGGAGGGUUGCCUCAUAAGCUUGGGCUGAGGCUGGGGCAGAGGGAUGCUGGUUAAUGAGUAGGCUUUUCUGCAUGAAGCAUGAGGACCCUGGUUGGGCCCCACACUUUCAGGGUUGCUCUAACAAAGUAAAGCAAGUACAGAGAAUGGCAAUCAGAGAGAAGGGUCUGAACUCACAGCAUGGGAAAACCUUUAGAGAUGGCCAGGCUUUUUGUUGGUUGGGAAAUGGCUCUAGAUGAAUACAGUUGGCAUUUUCAGUUAUUUUAGUGAAGACAUCAUGAGGAGAGGAGAUUGUACAUAGUCUCUAGACUACCAAAGGAAUAGCUAAAACUACAUUUAAAACAUUUUUAACCAAACAUUGUUGAGCUCCUUUCACGCGCCAUACAAGGGACCUACGGUUUCC